GACAGAGGCCCCGAGCGUUAGGCGGAAUCACUGGGCUUAAAGCGUGUGUAGGCGGAUCGUUAAGUGUCUUGUGAAAUCCCACGGCUCACCCGUGGAACUGCUGGGCAUACUGGCGAUCUUGGGCCGUUCAGGGGCGACUGGAACAAGCGGUGGAGCGGUGAAAUGCGUAGAUAUCGCUUGGAACGCCGAAGGUGAAAACAGGUCGCUGGGGACGCGCCGACGCUGAGACACGAAAGCCAGGGAGCAAACGGG
rnacentral:rRNA from 1 species